GAUGAACGCUAGCGGCAGGCUUAACACAUGCAAGUCGAGGGGCAGCAUAUUUUGUAGUAAUACAAGAUGAUGGCGACCGGCGCACGGGUGCGUAACGCGUAUGCAACCUACCAUAUACAGGGGGAUAAACUUUCGAAAGGGAGCCUAAUACCCCAUAGUAUUAUUUUAAGGCAUCUUGCAAUAAUUAAAGAUUAAUUGGUAUAUGAUGGGCAUGCGUGUCAUUAGCUAGUUGGUAAGGUAACGGCUUACCAAGGCGACGAUGACUAGGGGUUCUGAGAGGAAGAUCCCCCACACUGGUACUGAGACACGGACCAGACUCCUACGGGAGGCAGCAGUGAGGAAUAUUGGUCAAUGGGCGAGAGCCUGAACCAGCCAUGCCGCGUGCAGGAAGACGGCCCUAUGGGUUGUAAACUGCUUUUAUGUGAGGAUAAACCUAUUCUUGCGAGAGUAGCUGAAGGUAUCACAUGAAUAAGGAUCGACUAACUCCGUGCCAGCAGCCGCCGUAA
rnacentral:rRNA from 1 species